rnacentral:rRNA from 1 species
GAUGAACGCUGGCGGCGUGCUUAACACAUGCAAGUUGAACGAUGAAGCCCAGCUUGCUGGGUGGAUUAGUGGCGAACGGGUGAGUAACACGUGAGUAACCUGCCCUUAACUCUGGGAUAAGCCUGGGAAACUGGGUCUAAUACCGGAUAGGAGCGCCUACCGCAUGGUGGGUGUUGGAAAGAUUUAUCGGUUUUGGAUGGACUCGCGGCCUAUCAGCUUGUUGGUGAGGUAAUGGCUCACCAAGGCGACGACGGGUAGCCGGCCUGAGAGGGUGACCGGCCACACUGGGACUGAGACACGGCCCAGACUCCUACGGGAGGCAGCAGUGGGGAAUAUUGCACAAUGGGCGAAAGCCUGAUGCAGCGACGCCGCGUGAGGGAUGACGGCCUUCGGGUUGUAAACCUCUUUCAGUAGGGAAGAAGCGAAAGUGACGGUACCUGCAGAAGAAGCACCGGCUAACUACGUG